rnacentral:rRNA from 1 species
GACGAACGCUGGCGGCGUGCUUAACACAUGCAAGUCGAACGGAAAGGCCCUGCUUUUGUGGGGUGCUCGAGUGGCGAACGGGUGAGUAACACGUGAGUAACCUGCCCUUGACUUUGGGAUAACUUCAGGAAACUGGGGCUAAUACCGGAUAUGAGCUCCUGCUGCAUGGUGGGGGUUGGAAAGUUUCGGCGGUUGGGGAUGGACUCGCGGCUUAUCAGCUUGUUGGUGGGGUAGUGGCUUACCAAGGCUUUGACGGGUAGCCGGCCUGAGAGGGUGACCGGCCACAUUGGGACUGAGAUACGGCCCAGACUCCUACGGGAGGCAGCAGUGGGGAAUAUUGCACAAUGGGCGGAAGCCUGAUGCAGCAACGCCGCGUGCGGGAUGACGGCCUUCGGGUUGUAAACCGCUUUCGACUGUGACGAAGCGUGAGUGACGGUAAUGGGUAAAGAAGCACCGGCUAACUACGUG